rnacentral:rRNA from 1 species
UUUGAAAUCUGGCCUUCGGGUCCGAGUUGUAAUUUGUAGAGGAUGCUUUUGGUGCGGUACCUUCCGAGUUCCUUGGAACAGGACGCCUUAGAGGGUGAGAGCCCCGUACGGUUGGAUACUAAGCCUCUGUAAAGCUCCUUCGACGAGUCGAGUAGUUUGGGAAUGCUGCUCUAAAUGGGAGGUAAAUUUCUUCUAAAGCUAAAUACCGGCCAGAGACCGAUAGCGCACAAGUAGAGUGAUCGAAAGAUGAAAAGUACUUUGAAAAGAGGGUUAAAUAGCACGUGAAAUUGUUGAAAGGGAAGCGUUUAUGACCAGACCUUUGCCCGGCGGAUCAUCCGGUGUUCUUCACCGGUGCACUUCGCCGGGCUUAGGCCAGCAUCGAUUUUCGCAGGGGGAUAAAGACCGCGGGAACGUGGCUCCCUUCGGGGAGCGUUAUAGCCCGCGGUGUAAUACCCUUGCGGGGAUCGAGGUUCGCGCUUCGGCAAGGAUGCUGGCAUAAUGGUCAUCAACGACCCGUCUUGAAACACGGACCAAGGAGUCGAACAUUUAUGCGAGUGUUUGGGUGUUAAACCCUCACGCGUAAUGAAAGUGAACGGAGGUGAGAGCCCUCUAGGGGGUGCAUCAUCGACCGAUCCUGAUGUCUUCGGAUGGAUUUGAGUAAGAGCAUAGCUGUUCGGACCC